GCCUUCGUGGUGUAACGGUUAGCACAUUCGGCGCGUGCUCGAGAGGUCCAGGUUCAAGUCCCGGCAAGGGCA
rnacentral:tRNA from 1 species